rnacentral:rRNA from 1 species
CCCUUAGAUGUUCUGGGCCGCACGCGCGCUACACUGAUGCAUUCAACGAGCCUAUCCUUGACCGACAGGUCCGGGUAAUCUUUGAAUCUGCAUCGUGACGGGGAUAGAUUAUUGCAAUUAUUAAUCUUCAACGAGGAAUGCCUAGUAGGCGCAAGUCAUCAGCUUGCGUCGAUUACGUCCCUGCCCUUUGUACACACCGCCCGUCGCUCCUACCGAUUGGGUGUGCUGGUGAAAUGUUCCGAUCGGCCGUUUGUCGCGGUUUCCGCGUCAUGUGGCUGAGAAGUUCAUUAAACCCUCCCACCUAGAGGAAGGAGAAGUCGUAACA